UUUUUUUUUUUUUUGGCUAUAGUUGACUUACAAUGUUGUAUUAGCUUCAGUUGUACAGCAAAGUGAAUCAGUUAUACAUAUACAUAUAUCCAUUCCUUUUCAGAUUCUUUUCCCAUAUAGGUCACUAUAGGGUAUUAAGUAGAUUUUCCUGUGCUAUACAGGAGGUCCUUAUUACUCAUUCAUUCCAUAUAUAGUAGUGUGUGUAUGUCAAUCCCAACUUCCCAAUUUAUCCUAUAACAUUCUCUCACAUCAUUCACAAAAAUAAACUCAAAAUGGAUUAAAGACCGAAAUGUAAAGUCAGAUAAUAUAAAACUCUUAAAGGAAAAUAUAGGCAGAACACAUUUUGACAUAUAUUGCAGCAAUUUGGGGGGGCUCUACCUCCAUGUGUAAUGAAAAUAAAAACAAAAGUAAACAAAUGGGACCUAAUUAAACUUAAAAGCUUUUCUACAACAAAGGAAACUGUUAAAAAAAAAAAAAUGAAAAGACAACCCGCAGAAUGGGAGAAAAUCUCUGCAAAUAAGUGACCAACAAGGGCUUAAAUCUCCAAAAUAUACAAAAAUCUCAUACAGCUUUACAUCAAAAAAAACCCCACAAACUCAAUCAAAAAAAUAGGAAGAUCUAAAAAGACAUUUCUCCAAAGACAGACAGAUGACCAAAAAAAAUGCAUACGAAAAGAUGCUCAAUAUCACUAAUUAUUAGAAAAAUGCAAAUCAAGACUAUGAUGAGGUAUCACCUUACACCAGUCAGAAUGGCCAUCAUCAAAAAGCCUAGAAACAAUAAAUGCUGGAGAGGGUGUAGUGAAAAGGAAACCCUCCUACACUCCUGGUGGGAAUGUAAACUGGUACAGAGCAACUAUAGAAAAUAGUAUGGAGAUUCCAUCCUUUUUGACUGAUUGAAAGUGACACAGUGUUGCUCCAAACAUCUUUAGUUCUGCAUUUCCACUUACAAGCAAUUACUUCAAAAACUGCAUAAAGAUCGCAGUAAAAUAUUGCUCAACUCAAGAAUCCAUUACAUCUCUUUGGAGGGAAGGUCAGAGAAUGGGAGACUGAGAAACCACACUGGCAUUCUCUUCUGAAAAAAUCUGUGCUAAUUAGCGUGAGGUGAGAAAUAGGCCCCUCACAUUUCACAACAGUAAUAUUCUUUGCAACUGUGUCCCUUUAAAUUUCCAAUAAAAGUGAGAUAUUUUUCAGCUGACUAUAGUUUGUUUUUUACAGAAAAUUCUGAGGAUAUCUGAUUUAAAGAUAAAAGCAAACAAUUUUAGGACCAAAUUAAAACUGGUUAUGUUAUACUCUACCCCCCUGCCCCUCUCAGUCACACAAAAGUGCUGAAAGAAAUGGAAGACAGAGAAGAGUGUGGUGUGAAUCCACCCCCACCCACACCCUCACCAGGCACACUGGGGAAAUCACUGAAUCCUCCAGGAGAGUAUGCAGAGCAGUGGGAGGUGAGGAUGGAGAAGAGGAGGGUGAGUCCAUGGAGAGUGUGAGGAGGGUAGGAAAUAGAAAAAUAGGGAUAGAAGAGCUGGUAAAAGCCGAGGUGGGGUGGAUAGAGAGAAAACAAAUCGUUUUUGGUGUUUGCUUGUUUUGGAAGGGAAGAAGAAAAGCAGAAGAACUGAAAGGAACAAAGGGUGAAAGAGCAAGACGCAAGUAAUAUAUAUAGAGACAGAAAGGAAUGAUCAAAGGAGAAAUGGUCAUGUUGGGCAGAUGACAUUAAAUCUCGACACAAUGCCUGCACUAAGACCCUGCUCCCAAAUAGAAAGGAGGAGCCUUCCUGCACCCUUUCCUUGGAAACCUGAGCCAGCACCCCUGAGGAUGAUCUGAUUAAUGACUUGUGGCAGGACCUCAUUGCAUCUUAAUGAUUAAGGGUUUUCCUUUCACUUCCUGCAUGUGGUUAUGGAUAUUUUAUCUGGUUUAUCUGCGGAGCCUAAUGAAUUCCUGUUAAGUCUUUAUAGCAGUUGUCCCUUCCACUUAAAUCUUCCCCUGAUCCUAUUUACUAGAGUUUACAGUUCAGAGUGUUGCGUGCUAAAUUGUUUGUGUUUUUACAACCUUCACUAAAUGCUGACUCUGAAAAGUGGUUAAGUUGCCAGAAGGAGAAUCUACAGAUAAGGAGUAAAUGAAGCUGGAUGGAUACAGGAGGCUUUCUUCUUCCUCCUGCUCUGUCUGUGGUCCUGGGAGCAGAGAUUCAGCAUGUAUUCAAGGGGCUUCCUAGGACCCCUGCUCCCCUAAGUUUUGAAGGGUAGAGAGGUCAAGGAAGUGGACUGUCAGGAGGCCUAAAUUUGUCCAAACUCUGCCAUGACUAAACAGAUGAACUUGGGCAAGUCACUUGAGCUUUCUGAGCUUCUGUUUUCUCAUCUGUGCAUUGAGAUCAGUACCCUGCUCUCUCCUGCACCAAAGUUGGGAAGGGACCUGGUAUAAUUGAGGAAUGAUUUCUUUUUAAAGGGGUGUGAUGCUGCAGAAGAUGAUACUAAGGUACUGAAGAUAAAGAGGAACAGGUCAGCUGGGGCCAGGUAAGAGAUGCCUUGAAUCACUCUGUGCUUCUCAGUUCCUCACCAGUAAAGUGGGUAGAAAUUAUGCCAGCUCUCUUCAUAGGCAACUUAAGAGGCCACUUUAGCUCUUGGGGUUAAAAAGUGCUGAGAAAUAGAAAAGGACAGUAUCCCUGCUCUAAUCAUCCACACCCUUUAUAGAGCCCUAGUCCUUCAAAUGUCUUGUCUCCUGAAUUCCUAUCUCUGUUAUGGCUAAAGUAACCCCAAAGAAAUCUUUGACUCAUAAGAGUGCCUCUCACUCCAGGAUAUUCUAAAUCAUUUUAUUGUGAGGUCUAGGAUCCAUAGAAUAUGAUGCCAAGAGCAUCUCUGUCAGAUAGGUUUGCUAAAAAACAGAGGAGUGUUAAGACAAAAUAGCAACAUUUGGGAAGGCAGUGGUGUUGGUGUGCUGCCUUUCCUGUGUCUCUUUCUUUCUGUCCUUGCCUUCAGAGAUGAUAAAAUUCUCAGCUCUGGUGAGCAUUUUUAGGCAUUCCACUCAUAGUGGUAUUUUUGGACAGGAAAGAUACCCUGAUAAUGUGAGUUGUAAUAUAGUACUAAGAUAACUCAAGUACCUUAUCAGGUCUGUGGGUUUAAGUUCAAACUCACUAGGUAAAAAUCUCAGGAACCUCAGACCCCGAUAUUUUACUUAAUUUUUAACUGUUUAAAGUUAACAUAGUUUCUGAAAUACAUUCAGGGCCUCCUCCUCAAAAAAUACCCAUUGAUGUGGAAUAAAGGAUUGAAUGACUGAGUGAAUUAUCUAGAAUAAAAUGCAAAUACCACAAAGAAUGGUAACUCAUUAAGCAGUCUUAUUAGUUUUUAAUGCCUUGUUUUUGAAAGCAAGUUUUGAAGCGAGAAAAAAUGAGAAGGAAAUAAACAAUUAUUGAAUGUGUACUAUAUGUUCAGUACAUAGUACUAUAUAUUGUGCUAGACAUAUUUUACAUAUAUUUAUGUAGGAUUAAUAUACUGAAUCCUCACAAUUACCUAGGAGAUAAUUAAUAUAAUGCUCAUUAUGCAUUUGAGAUGAGGCUGAGACAGUUUACAUGACUUGCCUAGGGUCACAAAGUUGGUAGAAAUGGGAAAAGCAAGAGGGUACUAAACACUUGGAGUAAAGUUUAGCAAGGAAGCACUAAAAGGACAACGUUCUGGACUUACACCAUUCACCAAAAUUAACUCCAAAUAAAUUAAAAAUUUAAAUCUAAGACCUAAAACCAUUAAACUCCUAGAAGAUAACAUAGGGAAAAGGUUCCUCAAUAUUGGUCUUGGCAAUAUUUAGACAUGACACUAAAAGCACAGCAACAAAAGCAAAAAUCAACAAAUGGGAUGACAUCAAACUGCAUCAUCUGUGCAACAAAAGGAACAAUCCAUAAAAUGCAAAGGCAAUCUACUGAAUAGGAGAAAAUAUUUGCAAAUCAGAUAUCUGAUACAGGGUUGAUAUCCACUAUAUACAAGAAACUCACAUAAAUCACAGGAAAAAAAAAACCCAAAUAAAAUAUGAACAAAGAAUCAAGUAGACAUUUUUCCAAAGAAGACAUACAAAAGGCCAAAAGAUACCUGAAAAGGUGCUCAACAUCACUAAUUAUCAAGGCAAUGAAAAUGAAAACCACAAUGAGAUAUCACCUCACACCUGCUAAAAUGGCUAUUAUCAAAAAGACAAGAGAUAACAAGCGCUAGCAAGGAUGUGGAAAAAAAGGAACCCUUGCGCACUGCUGGUGGGAAUGUAAAUUGGCACAGCCGUUAGGGGAAACAACAUGAAGCUUCCUCAAGAAAUUAAAAAUAGAACAUUUGAUCCAGCGAUUCUACUUCUAAGAAUAUACCCGAAGGAAAUGAAAUCACGAUCCCAAAGGAUAGCUGCACCAUAUUCACUGUGGCAUCAUUUACAACAGCCAAGACAUGGAAACAGCCUAGGUGUCCAUCAACAGAUGAGUGGAUAAAGAAAAUGUGAUACAUGUUCAUACACAUACUAUGUCAUUCAGCCACAAAAAGAAGGAAAUCCUGCUAUUGUGACAAUACGGAUGGACCGUGAGAGCUUUAUGCUAAGUAAAUCAGACAGAGAAAGAUACAUACUGCAUGAUCUCACUUAUAUCUAUACAAUAUUUAAGAAAAACUGAAGUUAUAAAAACAGAGAGUUGCUUGGUGGUUGCCAAGGGCUCAGGGGAGGGAUUUUUGGAUACUGGAGUCAUCUGAGCACCUUCCCAGACAGAAAGAAGUAAAAGAAAGGGAAGGACUGAAGGCAUAAGAAGUAAAGGACAUUUGACAGUUAUUUCUAAAAGAUGCACCGGAUAAUUUAAGGGGAGAGCCACCUCACAAUACUUAAAAUAGAAUUUAGCUUGCAAACAUUUCAUUUUCUGGAAAACAGGUAUUUCCUAAAGCAAGGUAUGCCAGUAUUAAAUGGUUUGAUGUCUUAGCAGGUGACUGAAGGGCAGCAUGACCAAAAAUUAGGCAACAUUCUUCUGUCAAGGGCCCUAGUACCCUGCCAGAAUCUGCCAUCUAAUGUGUAAGUCAGUGCCUUUAAGAGUUUAAUCUCAUGUAAAAGUGCAAGUCAGUAAAGAAUGAUGGAUGAUGGGCUGAUUUGAAAAGGUCUUCACUGAGGCACUUCUAUCAGGUCUUGUCAGAAUGUAUAAAAGUCCAUGUGAUUGUCAGAGAAGAAACAAAAUUGUGCAAUGAAACUACUAAUAUGUGAAUGAGAAAAAGGAAAGGUUUUAUUAAAGGAUGAGACUUGUAAAUCUCCAUUCCCCAUUUGUAUUUAGAGAGACAAAGACAAAAUCCACACAUGUUCCUAUAUGCAAAUACUGCCAAUAACUUCGUCACUUUAAUUUUAUUGUGGUACCACAGAUUAUUAUCUUAAAUAUUUGGGGCUCCAACUUUCAUUAAUUUAAACCCAAUGUGUUCAUCUGGACAUUCACUUUUAAUCAGUGUCUACAAAUGAGCCUGAUUACCUUGAGUAUUAAUAACAACAAUCAACUUGCUCAUGAUUUCUUUUCCCUCUUAAGUUACAGGAUUAAGCACAGACAUUUAAUCAUACUCAUCAACAUUUUUUUCACUGGAGAAACUAAAUCAAAUGCAAAUGCAAGAAUUCAUUUUUCCAUGCAUGUCCACACACACCUGUCAAUAAAUUUUUCUAUUCUUUUUUGUUUUUCUACUUUUAUCUCCAGGCUCAAAAGCCACUUACUAUACCCUCCAAAAUGCACUAGAUCCUAUGCCAGAUAAUCAUCAGGAGAAAGUGAAGGGGCCGGAGGAUUUGUGCCAUCAUAAUCAUCAUUAAUUAUAGCAACAGCUGCUAUUGAACACUCAUGGAUCAGGCACUGUAUAAAAACUCUAUAUACCUCUCCAUAUACCUCUUAAGAUAAAACUUAAGAGGUAGGUACUCCUAGCUUUUCCAUUUGACAGAUAAGGAAACUGAGAUUUAGAGAGAUUAAGUAGCAAAUGGCAGAGCUCUUAUCUCUCUGAUUCCAAAGAUGGUUCUCUUAAUUAAUCACUGGACUGCCCUACUCACUCCUAAACAUUCACAAUCGGUCACAAGAGUACUAGCAUAAGACUUUUAGAAAGGAAAUGACCCAUGCCAAGAGUUUCCUUGCAUUAAAUUAAGUCAAGAAAGUGGAUGCCACCCUAAAUCCAUCUACAGUCAUGUCGAGCACCAGGUGGAAGGAACAGCCUGGGAGCCAGAGGCCUCUACACACCAACAAUCAGAGGCCUUCAAAAUAAUUAACCUCCACCCACGCAGCCCUUGACUGAGCCACAAACCAUUCCAGUGGCCAGAAGACAGCAACUGGAGUAUUCAUGGAUUUAAGAAAGCCCCAGUAGCUGGGAGCAGAGUGUUGAGAGAAGUCCAGUAUCACUCUAGAUGAGAAACUGAGACCAUGAU
ensembl:lncRNA